AUACUUUUAAAGAUAAAAAUAAUAAGCCAGGUCUCUUAAUACUUAUCUAAAGAAGUGUUUGUAUAACAUUUAAUAAAAUGUUUUAUCUCAGUGGCAUUUGGAUUUAAAAAUUAUUUUGGGCUGUCACAGAAUGUUGACUUUUCCUAAUCUGUUACAUAGGGCCAUGGGUCUGGAUUUCCAGGAAAGCGGAGACCUCGAGGUGCAGGACUGUCGGGGCGAGGUGGCCGAGGCAGGUCAAAGCUGAAAAGUGGAAUCGGAGCUGUUGUAUUGCCUGGGGUGUCUACUGCAGAUAUUUCAUCAAAUAAGGAUGAUGAAGAAAACUCUGUGCUCGAUAUGGUUGUGUUGUUUUCUAGCAGUGACAAAUUCACUUUGAAUCAGGUUUGAACUUGACAAUUUACUGUCUUCCUCAUUGAAUUCCUCCUUGCACAUUUCUGCUUUAUCUCAUAUACACAGAAGUGAUCCAAUAUUUAGCUAUAGAGCUAUAUUAGUUAAGAAGGUAUUUUUAAAGUAAAAUUUGUAGGUUUUUAGCUUAGUCUCCAUUUAAAAUAUGUUCUGUUUUCUUAACUUCAGGAUAUAUGUGUAGUUUGUGGCAGUUUUGGCCAAGGAGCAGAAGGAAGAUUACUUGCCUGUUCUCAGUGUGGUCAGUGUUACCAUCCAUACUGUGUCAGUAUUAAGGUAAACAUCCUUAAACUGAGUUAACAAAUAUGUAUUGAAUUUUUAUUUGGUUUUAGUAGUAACAUGAGCUCCCAGUUCUCACAAUUAAGUAUUAUGAUUAUUAAACAUAUGUGACAGUAUUUAAGUACUUUAAAUACUGCUUUUAAGGGUUUCCUAUCUCAAGAAAUUUGCUCCUCUAUAAAUCUUAUAUUGUACUAAUAUCCUGCUUUUGUCUUGAAAAAGUAAAACAUAAAAAUAUAUGCAUUUAAUUUAAAAGACAAUUUAUACUAUUCACAAAGAUUUUAGGUUUAGCUGAUUCAUUUUGUCUGUUG
rnacentral:lncRNA from 1 species